GAUGAACGCUGACAGAAUGCUUAACACAUGCAAGUCGAUGGGGAAGUGGUGCUUGCACCAUGGUAACCAUGGCGGACGGGUGAGUAACGCGUAAGGAACUUGCCUGCGGGACUGGGAUAACAGCAGGAAACUGCUGAUAAUACCGGAUAAGGUCAUUAAGCUGCAUAGCUUAGUGAUGAAAGGAGACGCCUGCGGAGAGCCUUGCGUCCUAUUAGCUAGUUGGAGGGGUAACGGCCCACCAAGGCGAAGAUAGGUAGCCGGCCUGAGAGGGUGGACGGCCACAAGGGGACUGAGAUACGGCCCUUACUCCUACGGGAGGCAGCAGUGGGGAAUAUUGGACAAUGGGGGCAACCCUGAACCAGCAAUUCUGUGUGCACGAAGACGGUUUUCGGAUUGUAAAGUGCUUUCAGCAGGGAAGAAGGAAGUGACGGUACCUGCAGAAGAAGCGACGGCUAAAUACGUG
rnacentral:rRNA from 1 species